GACUGAAACCCAGCGUGUAGCUCCGAAUGCCUCACCGGCGCUGACAAAUUGCUGGAAUAUCUGAUGCACUGGUUUGUCCUCCACCUCUGCAUGUUCUACCCAGAUCACCUGCCCAAAGAAAUAUGAGGUAUAAAGCAGGUGAGCAACAUUCCCAGAACAUAGAAGAGCUUUUUCUUGUCCCGGUGAUACAUAAACACAGCAAAUCAAGUUUCCGUACCUUGGAGUACCCAUUGGGCAUAUCUUGGAUGACACAACCAGAAGUCCUCCUUCUAUACCAGGGGAAGGGGCUUUGAAUGCCAUCUCGGAAUCCAUCAACGGGGAAGUCGACUAUAAUCCAAGUGCCUUCUUCUGAGUUCUGCUGGCAGUACCGGAAGAAGUGAGCUUCACGGGCGGGCACCAACGGAGAUAGAAAUUGCAGCUCUGCCUGCAUCUGUUAAUGGCCCGAACAUGAGCAAAGCAGAUGCCAACAACAACGUGUAUUCAUGGAGGUGAUCCGACAAAUUACCAGAUGCAAGCAGCCAUUGCCGUGGCCGGGAACUCCGGGACUCAAAACCUGCACCGUUCUGGACUUUGCGACAAGGGAAGGAAACAGCUCCAUCCAUUUGUUCUGGACAAAGUAACCGACAGGGUAAGAGCUCAUGAUGCUACAGAGACGAUUCAUGGAUCUAGGAAAAGAUUGACUCACUGCAUCCAGGAAGGCAUCCACCGUUGUGAUGCCGUUCAUUAUGACCAUGGCACUGUCCCUGGAAGUCUCCGUCCUAAACCGCCCCUGUUGCUGCUUCAGGUCCAUCGGCCAUGGACACAUCCUCGCAUGCUCUUCCAAGUUCAAGACCUCCACGGUGCUACCACCUCUUCGGAUCCACAGCGGCUCGUUCGUGUUGCACAUCCUGACCAGGUGAUCUGCUGCCGUCAUUGCCAGGUCGAGAACCAAUGGCCUGUCUUGGUCCAUGAUGAGCAUGCCAGGGAACGGCGAGGGCUCAUCGGAGAUCUGCGGGAUGGGGAUCAGGUCGGUGCAGCUCACCACCGGCGGCUCGUGGAAGUGUCUGGAGUAGAUGCCCAUGUCAAGGUCAAGAGAGGGGAGCAGUAGAGGCGGUGCCGGCCCUAAUGGCUGCAACUGCCGGCCACUGUAACGCGACGCGAUGCAGGAUAGACGCUCAAGCUGCACAUUGAAGUGGUGAACAGAGGAAAUGAUAGCAAGAGCAAGUGCAUGUGGAGGUAACGUCGUUCUGGGAGGAGCUAGGUUAGGGUUCAGUACCUCGUCCUUGAGCCGGGCGUUCUCGAUGCGCAGUUGCUGCUCGUCGAAGGACAUCUCGCCGAGGAUGGCCGGGCCGCCGCAGCUGGGGCAGACGACGUUGCGAAUGGCUGCCUGCAGCCGGAAGUUGUCGUUCUUCAGGCUCUCGUUCUCCGCCCGCAGCACCACGUUGUCCGCCCGGUCUUGUUGAGCCUGCAGCGUGCCGCAGUUACAAUCCCAUGCAUAUCAGUAAGCUUUCUUCCACAACGAAUAGCAUCUAAUUCUUGUAUCAUUGUUGGUACUGAUGCAUGAAUGAAGGGUUGCAGACGCACCUUCAUCUGA